CCGGCUCAGCCUAAACGUUGGCUACCACCACCCAAUGGUUCUGUGAAGAUUAAUGUAGAUGCUGCUGUUGUGAGAUCACAACGUGGAGGAGCAGUCGCGGCAUUAUGCAGAGAUCAAACGGGCCAAUAUUUGGGAUCUUCGGCUGUGGUCUUCCGAGGUAUCAAUGACACUUUAAUUCUGGAGACGUUUCCAUGUCGUGAAGCAUUAUCGCUAGCAGAUGACUUGGCCGUUCAAAAUAUUUGUGUCGCAUCAGAUUCCCAAGAAGCGGUGAAUGAUAUUACAAAGGGGACACGAGGUCCAAAUGCGGCUAUAGUACAUGAAACCUUAAGCCCUUGUAAUAGUUUUAAUUCCAGUUCCUUUGUCAUCGAACAUAGGAAUUUUAAUUUUGAGGGUCAUAAUCUUGCCAAGUUUGCUUCUAACCUAGGCGUGGGUAGGCAUGUGUGGUUGGGCAAUCCUCAUGACCCAAACCUUGUACCUAUGACCAUGGCUUUGGAUGAAUAA
rnacentral:rRNA from 1 species